GACGAACGCUGGCGGCGUGCUUAACACAUGCAAGUCGAACGGUAAGGCCCUUCGGGGUACACGAGUGGCGAACGGGUGAGUAACACGUGGGUGAUCUGCCCUGCACUUCGGGAUAAGCCUGGGAAACUGGGUCUAAUACCGGAUAGGACCACUGCCUGCAUGGGUGGUGGUGGAAAGCUUUUGCGGUGUGGGAUGGGCCCGCGGCCUAUCAGCUUGUUGGUGGGGUGAUGGCCUACCAAGGCGACGACGGGUAGCCGGCCUGAGAGGGGGACCGGCCAGACUGGGACUGGGACACGGCCCAGAGUCCUACGGGAGGCAGCAGUGGGGAAUAUUGCACAAUGGGCGCAAGCCUGAUGCAGCAACGCCGCGUGAGGGAUGACGGCCUUCGGGUUGUAAACCUCUUUUAGUAGGGAAGAAGCGAAAGUGACGGUACCUGCAGAAAAAGCACCGGCUAACUACGUGCCAGCCGCCGCAGUAA
rnacentral:rRNA from 1 species